rnacentral:rRNA from 1 species
UGGGGAAUUUUGCGCAAUGGGCUAACGCCUGACGCAGCAACGCCGCGUGGAGGAUGAAGGUCUUUGGAUUGUAAACUCCUGUCAGCGGGGAAAAAGGGACUUGGGUUAAUACCCUGAGAACUUGAUUGUACCCGCAGAGGAAGCCCCGGCUAACUCUGUGCCAGCAGCCGCGGUAAUACAGAGGGGGCAAGCGUUAUUCGGAAUUAUUGGGCGUAAAGGGCGCGUAGGCGGCUUUGCAAGUGGCGGGUGAAAUCCCUCGGCUUAACCGAGGAACUGCCUGCCAGACUGUGAGGCUUGAGACCGGGAGAGGUGAGUGGAAUUCCCAGUGUAGCGGUGAAAUGCGUAGAUAUUGGGAGGAACACCAGUGGCGAAGGCGGCUCACUGGACCGGAACUGACGCUGAGGCGCGAAAGCGUGGGGAGC